AGAGUUUGAUCCUGGCUCAGAAUCAACGCUGGCGGCGCGCUUAACACAUGCGAGUCGCACGAGAAAGUGGAGCAAUCCAUGAGUACAGUGGCGUACGGGUGAGUAACACGUGGAUCAUCUACCUCUUAGUGGGGAAUAACCCUGGGAAACCGGGGCUAAUACCGCAUAAGCUCGAGAGAGGAAAGCAGCAAUGCGCUGAGAGAGGAGUCCGCGGCCGAUUAGCUAGUUGGCAGGGUAAACGCCUACCAAGGCAAAGAUCGGUAGCCGGCCUGGGAGGGCACACGGCCACACUGGCACUGAAACACGGGCCAGACUCCUACGGGAGGCAGCAGUGGGGAAUCUUGCACAAUGGGGGAAACCCUGAUGCAGCGACGCCGCGUGAGCGAUGAAGCCCUUCGGGGUGUAAAGCUCUUUCGGCAGGGACGAUCAUGACGGUACCUGCAGAAGCAGCUGCGGCUAACUACGUGCCAGCAGCCGCGGUAAUACGUAGGCAGCGAGCGUUGUUCGGAGUUACUGGGCGUAAAGGGUGUGUAGGCGGUUGCUUAAGUUUGGUGUGAAAUCUCCCGGCUCAACUGGGAGGGUGCGCCGAAUACUGAGUGACUCGAGUGCGGGAGAGGAGAGUGGAAUUCCUGGUGUAGCGGUGAAAUGCGUAGAUAUCAGGAGGAACACCGGCGGUGUAGACGGCUCUCUGGACCGUAACUGACGCUGAGACACGAAAGCGUGGGUAGCAAACAGGAUUAGAUACCCUGGUAGUCCACGCCCUAAACGAUGCAUAUUUGGUGUGGGUCAUUCAGUUGAUCCGUGCCGGAGCUAACGCGUUAAAUAUGCCGCCUGGGGAGUACAGUCGCAAGGCUGAAACUCAAAGGAUUUGACGGGGGCCCGCACAAGCGGUGGAGCAUGUGGUUCAAUUCGACGCAACGCGAAGAACCUUACCUGGGCUCGAACGGCUGGUUACCGGCGGUGGAAACAUCGCUAC
rnacentral:rRNA from 1 species